AUGGACGUCCCCGGCGGCCGGGCGUACGGGGAGGAGGAGGAGCUGGACCCGGCGGUGGAGUGGAGGCAGGCCGGCGACGACCAGGACCUGGUGGAGCUCCGGCUGCCGGGGUUCCGGAAGGAGCACGUGCGCGUGCAGGUCGACAACUACGGCGUGCUCCGCGUCACCGGCGGCCGCCCGGCCCGGGGCGGCCGCUGGAUCCGCUUCACCAAGGACCUCCGCCUCCCCGACAACUGCGACGCCGACGGCGUCCGGGCCAGGUUCGAGGACGAGAAGCUGCUCAUCAGCCUCCCCAUCGUCCCUGGCGCCGUCGCCGGCGGUGAGGCGGUCCCCACGCCCCCGCCGUCGCCCCCGGAGCCACUGCCGAGGCCGGCGUUGCAGCCGCCGCCAUUUUCAGUGCCUCCUCCUCCACGUUUGCCUCCGCCUCCCGGGAAGCCCAGCUUCUUCGAGCCAAAGAUCCGGCCGCCGGUGCCACCACCACGGGCGCCAUCAUCACGCUCACGUCCACUUCCUCCGUUUCCGGCUGAGCCCCCCACUGUUUUCGAGCCAAAGCCACCGCCGGUAGAGAAGCCCACUGCAUUCGAGCCAAAGCUCCGUCCGCCACCGCCUCCAUCACCGCCGCCAAUAUCACGCCCACUUCCUCCAUUCUCGUCUAAGCCCCCCAGCUUUUUCGAGCCAAAGGUACCGCCGCCGCCUCCACCACCGCCGGCGCCAAAGCUCCGACCGCCGCCGCCAAUAUCACGGCCACUUCCUCCGUUCCCGUCGAAGCCCCCCAGCUUUUUCGAGCCAAAGGAACCGCCGCCGCCUCCACCACAGGAGCCUGCACCGGUACCAUUGCCGUCGCGUCCACCUCCACCUCCGCCACCACCUGAACGUGCACGGUUACCGUCGUUUCAACCACCACCACCACCACCACCCCCUCCUCCUCCGGUGAAGCCAACUUUCUUCGACCCAAAGCUCUGGCUGCCGUGGCGGCAUUCAGAUCACGCUCGAGACACCCCUCCAGAGCCCACAUUAACAAAGCCCGCCGCCACCACCGAACGGAAGCCCUGGGCACCUCCGGCGAUCGUUCCUGGUCCAAGGACGGCCGAGCCGGAGCCCGGGCCACCGCCAUUGCCACCUCCAAAACAGAGUACAGGCACUCUGCUUCAGCCAAAGUCACCCCCGCUGUCAGAUAUACCAAUUGGCGUCUCAUCUCCAUCGCCGCCUCCACCGCCACUACGGCCGCCUAGUCAUCGUCUCCCGGAAACAAAGGCUAGGACGAAGAAGAAGCAUCGCAAGGUGCAAGACGAAGACGGCAAGGUCAGGUUGCCAUUGCUGGAGGAGAUGACGAAGCAAGAGGAGAAGAAGAUGGAGGGCAAGAAAGCGAGGGAGGCGGCGAACGGUGGAAGGCAGCCGGCUGAGCACGAGAAUAUGGAAGUGUCACCAAAGUUGCUGCCGGCGAGCGAGGAUCCAGGGACGACGCCCGCGACGGAGCUGGUGACGAACAUGGCAGCCGCGGUGGUGGUGCUCGUGGGGAUCGUGCUGUCAGUUUGGCGCACCAUGAGCAGCAGUUAA
rnacentral:rRNA from 1 species